GGGUAGUUGUGACUUAUCACUCAUGGCAUCUUCCGAUGCCAGCAAGAGCAACAAGAGCCAUAUAGCAUCAGACAUCAUUGUUGCUCAGCAAACAAUAAAGAAAAAGUUGAAUUUCUGAUCCAAACUAUCUCAUAAUUGCACGACUCUAUGGCAUGAUAUGAAGGUUGUGCACAACUAACUAAUGAUUGGACACCACCUCUGUAAUGCGUGGAUUUAUGGAGGUACAUCAUACAUCGAUUGAUUUUAAAAAAAAGUUCAGAUUUCAUUUCUGUAUCCAUUUAAUCCUAUGAUCUCUUACUUACCUAGUCUUGAUUUAGUAAUACAGUAUCCGUCCCAAUAAUGAUAACCCCUUUCUUAAACGACAACACAAGAUUUUAUGCAGUGGUGCUAUUUUGUGUUGAGUGGAGAGAAUAUAGUAGGGAUAAUAAGUGUUUUUGUUUUCAGAAAUGAA